GCCUUGCGGUCAUAAAACUUUCGAGUCAGUUUUUCGUACUCGUACUCGAAAAUCAAACAAUCAAAAUGCUGGAUUUCAUGUUUCGAGCAUGAUUUUUGUGCUCCAAGCACUGAGCAAAGUUUUAUGACUUCAACCUCCCAACACAUGUGAACGUCCGGAGAUGUUUCAGAGAACUGGGCUGAAAACUGUAGCAGCGGGUGAUUACCCAAAACAUAUACCCUCUUUUAUUAAUAUUGCUGAAAAAGCUGGUCAAAUUAGAUAAUUUACUCAAAC
rnacentral:lncRNA from 1 species